rnacentral:ncRNA from 1 species
CUUAUCAAGAGUGGUUGAGGGACGGGCCCUGUGAAACCCGGCAACCGGUAAAACCGGUGCCAAUUCCCGCAAAGCCCACUGGGCUUUGAAAGAUGAGG